GACCCGUCUAAUUCUUCGUUUCAAUCGACUGGCGAGGGUGCCUCGAUUAUUUUCGAGAAUCGCGAGCUGGUUGCGAUCUUAACCACCUCGAUCGCCGUCAUGAUUGGCUGCGUCGUUGUUCUCAUGUGGCGAAGAUCUGGAAAUCGGAAAGUUAAGACCGUGGAGCUUCCUAAGCCGUUGCUUGUGAAGGAGCCGGAGCCAGAAGUUGAAGACGGCAAGAAGAAGGUUACGAUAUUCUUCGGUACGCAGACAGGCACUGCCGAAGGCUUUGCAAAGGCUCUAUCUGAGGAGGCGAAAGCACGGUACGAUAAGGCAACAUUUAGAGUUGUUGAUUUGGAUGAUUAUGGGGCUGACGACGAUGAACACGAACAGAAAUUGAAAAACGAGUCUUUCGCUGUUUUCUUCUUGGCAACGUAUGGCGAUGGAGAGC
rnacentral:misc_RNA from 1 species